GUUGAUACAAACUGCAAGGUGUGUCAGAUAGACUCUGAGGUGAUCUUCACGGCACCAGAAACGCAGAAACGAGGACAGCUGUGACACAGAGGACAUAGCAGAUGUGUGAUCACGCAAUUGUCCAGGACAACCUGUCCAAUUAUCCAGUGCUGAAGAACCUUUUGCCAGAGGACUACAGCUAUCACGUGUGCUCCUUUGAGUCACAGGGGGACCAAAACAAUUUCAGGACUAACCUGAAGUUAAGGUUGACCCGGGAGGAGGAGGUGCAGAAGUGGCAGGAGGAUUUCCAGGCGUCCUCAGGCUUAACGUGGCGAAAGUCAAAGACCUAUCCAGAUGCUGGUGAUGGCUCUAACAAGUACAGGGUUGACUUGAGGUGCCACCACAACACCCGCACCAGUACUGCCAAGACUAGCAAAAACACCUCCUGCCCUGCAUUUAUGUACCUGAUUCUGAAAAGACAGACGUAUAGUAAAGGGCGGAAGUCAAGGUCUGAAGACCCCCACAUCAAGGAGGGGUACUACUUCCAUGUUGUUGUGAAAAACAGCCACAACCACUGUGUGCCCUUUGCGGCAGUCUCGGCUAAGAGAGAUGUCUCAAAAGAGACCGAAGGAAAAACUGAAGAAACUCUUUGAAAGUGGCCGGUUGCCAGGAAUCUCAUGUGGAGGGGAUGCCCAAACUGAGUUCUGUGAGGACUUUCCUCCAGAUGACACAUGAGUCAAUAUCACUAUGAAGUGCCUUUGGUGUCCUCAUCAGACUCACUCAGUCAUCAUGAAAAUGUAGCAGAAUAAUGAAAGUUUGAGGUCUUAUUAUAAGUGGCCAAACAUUUGCACACAUAUCAGUACAAUGAUAAGUCUCUUAAAAUGUGUUUCCUUCAUUUUACACAUAUUUUUUUCAUUUGAUGUACUUGAUUUUGGCAUGUCCCACACACUGCUCUGCUAACUACAAUGUGUGUAAUAAGUGGUUAAAUGAUACUAAAUAAAAAAAGAAUUUACAUGGUUUUAUUGUCCACGAUAAGUUAUUUGAUAAAACAAGUAAUUUUGAUCAUGUAUAUUCUAUUUUCAUAAUCAUAUUGAACAUUUUGCAUGUGUCCCUGAGAAUUGCUGUCCACCCUGUCAUUAUGGGGUAACUGACCCUUUAAGAAACCCUCUGAUGUUUUCAAUGACAUCACUACAAGCAUUUUGUCUUUCUUCAAUGGAGGCUGAAGCAGUGGCUAAUUGCAGA
ensembl:lncRNA